rnacentral:rRNA from 1 species
UACGUAGGGUGCAAGCGUUAAUCGGAAUUACUGGGCGUAAAGCGUGCGCAGGCGGUUUUGUAAGUCUGUCGUGAAAUCCCCGGGCUCAACCUGGGAAUGGCGAUGGAGACUGCAAGGCUAGAGUUUGGCAGAGGGGGGUAGAAUUCCACGUGUAGCAGUGAAAUGCGUAGAUAUGUGGAGGAACACCUAUGGCGAAGGCAGCUCGCUGGGACGUUACUGACGCUGAGACGCGAAAGCGUGGGGAGCAAACAGG